UGGGGAAUUUUGGACAAUGGGCGAAAGCCUGAUCCAGCAAUGCCGCGUGUGUGAAGAAGGCCUUCGGGUUGUAAAGCACUUUUGUCCGGAAAGAAAUCCUUGGCUCUAAUACAGUCGGGGGAUGACGGUACCGGAAGAAUAAGCACCGGCUAACUACGUGCCAGCAGCCGCGGUAAUACGUAGGGUGCAAGCGUUAAUCGGAAUUACUGGGCGUAAAGCGUGCGCAGGCGGUUUGCUAAGACCGAUGUGAAAUCCCCGGGCUCAACCUGGGAACUGCAUUGGUGACUGGCAGGCUAGAGUAUGGCAGAGGGGGGUAGAAUUCCACGUGUAGCAGUGAAAUGCGUAGAGAUGUGGAGGAAUACCGAUGGCGAAGGCAGCCCCCUGGGCCAAUACUGACGCUCAUGCACGAAAGCGUGGGGGAGCAAACAGGAUUAGAUACCCUGGUAGUCCACGCCCCUAAACGAUGUCAACUAGUUGUUGGGGAUUCAUUUCCUUAGUAACGUAGCUAACGCGUGAAGUUGACCGCCU
rnacentral:rRNA from 1 species